CCUCUAAACUCUAUGAUGCAGAAUGGAAAAAUGGACAUUAUCUAAUCAUGCCAGAGCGAAUAGAUCAGCCCUCCACAACUGCAGACCUUUGCAAAAAGUGCUGUGUUGUAAACACAGAUGGAUUAUGAAAAGAGGUUGUAAAAAUCCUUACAGAAUACUCAACGGAUCAUACAGCAUCCAUGGAGGAACUCAGCCAGUCAGACAUCAUCCAUGGUUGCUGCCUGGCCUGCUGCCGGAUCUGAUGAAGGGUCUCGGCCCGAAACGUCGACUGUACUCUUUUCUAUAGAUGCUGCUUGGCCUGGAAAUGCAGCACAUACAUCUUUGGAAUGUCGAAGAAAUUGAUGGCAUUGCAAGUGACGUCCAUGUUACAUCCAUGGAGAAACACAAUUUGAAAAAUGCAUGUUCAAGAGACUUCAGUAAAGAGAAGCAAUCUUAAAUACUUUAUACUUUAUUGUCGCCAAACAAUUGGUACUAGAACGUACAAUCAUCACAGCGAUAUUUGAUUCUGCGCUUCACACUCCCUGGAUUACAAAUAUUAAAUACUAAAAAUAUUAAAAAUAGUUAAAAUAAGUAAAUAUUAAAAAUUUAAAUUACAAAUCAUAAAUAGAAAAUAGAAAAAUGGGAAGUAAAGUAGUGUCAAAAAAAAACCGAGAGGCAGAUCCGGAUAUUUGGAGGGUACGGCCCAGAUCCGGGUCAGAAUCCGUUCAGCAGUCUUAUCACAGUUGGAAAGAAGCUGUUCCCAAAUCUGGCCGUACGAGUCUUCAAGCUCCUGAGCCUUCUCCCAGAGGGAAGAGGGAUGAAAAGUGUGUUGGCUGGGUGGGUUGUGUCCUUGAUUAUCCUGGCAGCACUGCUCCGACAGCGUGCAGUGUAAAGUGAGUCCACGGAUGGAAAAUAUACCACUGGCUUUCAUGCUUUUCAAUAAUUGUCUGAAACACACCAGUAGCAAUUGCAUUAUCUCUAGUUUUCCGUGAUCCGGUGGCCUUUUAUGAAAAUCUUGUAGCCAAAAUCAAAGUAUUUUCAAUUUGGUUACCAUGAGCCCAAAGUUUCUGAACAUGGUACUAAAAAUGAUGGAAAUGCCAGACAACAUUCAGAUGUAGAAUUAUUUAUUUUGUUUAGUUAGAUAUUGAGAUAAAGCACAGAGUAGGCCCUAUUGCCCUUCAAGGCAUACCACCCAGCAAUUCCCAGUUUAACCCUUGCCUAAUCACAGGAUAAUUUACAAUGACCCAAUUAGCCUACCAACCAGUUUGUCUUUGGACUGUGAGAGGAAACUGGAGCACUCAGAGGAAACCCACACAUUCAUGAGGAGAACAUACAAACUCCUUGCAGGCAGUGGCGGGAAUUGACCCCAGGUUGCUGAUAUGGUAAGGUAUUGUGACAACCACUACACUGACAUGUCGCCCAUUCGACGGGAUUCAUUCUCACUUUCAAUACAUGGUUAAUUUUGCCCAGUGAUACAAGACCACAGAGCAAUAUUUCACCAUUGGCAUUGAGUUGCAAUUAUUUUUCAACUUUUAUUAUAGAUUGGAAAAUGAUUGGAUAUGUAAUUUAAUGGAAAGAACUUUUAUAACUAUCUGUUCUUGGUGAGAAGUCUCUUAGUCAGUCCACAAUGAGUCUACAUAAACAGCAAGUACACAGAUGAUUGAAAAUCACUUUGAAAAUGACAUUUAGGGUUCUUGUGGAAUGUAUAAAUCAGAAACUGACUUCCUUUAGAUCAGUGUCAUUUAAAAUUUGCUCUGAUCUUGAAAUAGAGUCACAUAUCUUUUCACUCACACUGGAUGUAUUACAAGAAAACAAAUAUACGGUUGAUGGAUCAAAAGGCCUAUUGAUUACUGGGCAAAAAUGCAAGGCAAUCAACUUUAGGAAGACUUCCUGAAUGACACAUAGCAAGCACAUUCCCUAACUAAAGAUGGCGAUGACAAGGAACACUUAAAACCCACACUAGGACUGUUCUAAAAAUAUUAUUCAUCACACUAGUGCACAAGUGAUUUAAUAUUCAUCACUUUUAGAGGAUGAAAAUGAAGCAGAAAAAUAUAUUCCUACUCAGUGUAAAUAUCAAGCUCCCCUGUGAAUUUCCAGCUUGAUCUUGCUAUCAAAUGCUGAGUAACAAACUCUAAGUACUUUAAAUUAGAAGUAUGCAUGGCAUCAUGAAGGAUCCCACCCACCCUGCUCAUGGACUGUUUGUCUCACUCCCUUCGGGGAGAAGGCUACAGAGCAUUCACACCAGGACCUCCAGACUCAAAAUCUGUUACUUUUCACGAGCAGUAAGGCUGAUCAACACCUCCACCCAGUAAUCCAGCCUUCCACAGCCCCCACCACCACUACGCCACUACUUUGUCAUUUCCUGCCAGUCACCUUGUGUACAGACUGUCCUGUGCCUGGCAUCACUUUAUGAACAUACAAACAAUCAGAAUUGGAAUCGGUUUUAAUAUUACCAGCAUUUGUCAUGAAAUUUGCUGACUUUGCGGCAACGGUACAAUGCAAUGCAAUGCAAAAUGAUAGCGAGAUAAAAGCUAUGACUUACAGUAAGUAUAUAUGUAUAGUUCAAUAAAUAGUGCAAACAAUUUAAAUAAGUAAUGAGGUAGUGUUCAUGGGCUCAAUGUCCAUUCAGAAAUCAGAUGGCAAAGGGGAAGAGGCUGUUCCUGAAAUGUUGAGUGUGUGCCUUCAGGCUUCUUUACCUCCUUCCUGAUGGUGGCAAAGAGAACAAGGCAUGUCCUAGGUAAUGGAGGUCCUUAAUGAUGGAUGCCACCUUUUUGGGACACUGCUCCUGGAUCCUAUGGAGGCUAGUGCCCGUGAUGGAGCUGACUAAGUUUACAACCCUCUGCAGCUUUUUUUAAUCCUGUGCAGUAGCCACCUCCACUCCCCGCCCCCCAGAGCAAACAAUAAUGCAACCAAUUAGAAUGCUCUCCAUGGUACAUAUGUAGAAAUUUGUGAGACAAUCUGUGUAUAAACUAUCUUAUGCAAUUAUAUUUAUUGUGUUAUUUUAUUAUUGUGUUAUUUACCUUACUGUGUUUUUCUUUUGAUCUGGAGUAACAAU